UACGAAGGGGGCUAGCGUUGCUCGGAAUCACUGGGCGUAAAGCGCACGUAGGCGGAUCGUUAAGUCAGAGGUGAAAUCCUGGGGCUCAACCCCAGAACUGCCUUUGAUACUGGCGAUCUUGAGUGUGGAAGAGGUUGGUGGAACUCCGAGUGUAGAGGUGAAAUUCGUAGAUAUUCGGAAGAACACCAGUGGCGAAGGCGGCCAACUGGUCCACUACUGACGCUGAGGUGCGAAAGCGUGGGGAGCAAACAGG
rnacentral:rRNA from 1 species